UGAAAGCCAUUUUCUAAGGGUA
rnacentral:tRNA from 1 species